UUAACAUUAAACUAUGAAUCAGCUUUCAUUUCAAACAACUUAAACUAAAACAAAUAUACAGGUCUCUUGUUUCAAAUCACUACAUCCAAAGUACAUGAAAUGUAUAUAUCGAUUCCCGUUUUGUAAAUGAACUUGAUCUUUUUACAAUAAGAACAUCAAUUUGUUGCUGAUGACAGAGUAGUAGUUGAAAUUUCUGCUGCCUCAUUAUGCAAAUUAUUUUCUGAAAAAACUGAGAUUUUAUCAGCAUCUCCAAUAAACUAUUUCAGCAAAUUUUCUCAUCAGCCCUAAGAAUUAGUUUUGCUUCAAGAAUUUUCUAUCUUGUUGCCAUGUCCCAGCUGGCCGGCAGUAGCUUUCCUCAUUUCUCCUGAAUCAGGAAAAUUUUUUUUCCAUUCAAGAAAUAAAUGCAAGUGCUAUAGAAACACACGUAAAGAGAUGUUGAUGUAUCAAGCAAAGACUGAUCUAGAACUCUUCUAUAUAUUGUGUCUUGAAUUCAUGAUAGACCGAGUUUAGAUAAGAAUUUUACAUAUAUUUAAAUAUAACAUCAAGCUUUACAAGUCAAGGUAAUUAAACAGAUGUGAAAACUCACUCUUAAAAUCCUAAUUAACAUUGAAAAAAAGAGUUUGAUGCAACUAAGAAAAGUAAUUUGAAGGAACAUUUCUACUCAUGAGGAUUCUUUUGAUCAAACUAUUAUGGGCAUAUUCUUAUCUCAAUAUUAAGCCAAGUAAGUCUUAUCUACCGUUGGAUGUAUGGCGGGUCCUAUAAAAAAUCAUGAUUAGCCUAUAAAAAUUAUUAUUUAUUAAAUUUUUAUUAAUUAGGCGUAUAUACACCCACCCACAUAAAAUAAUUUUCUUGUUAAGCCUAUUCGAAGAAGUGUUCAAUCUAGCUAGAAAUUAAGUUCUAGAAUUAUAUAGGGAAUUUGGAGUGUUAUUAUUAUUAUUUUUUUGUCUAGCUUUAUUACACAUUCGCUUAAUGAAUAACUCCAAUAAUUUAGAGACAGCCCUUCUCCCACAAAGCAAGUGCGGUGCCUCCUGCUUUUAGGAAUCACUUUGAUUCUAAUAUAUCUAAUAAGCAUAUGCAUAGCAUUAGAAUCUUGUCAGAUUCAUUUCUUCUUGUGAAAAGCAAGAAAGCUAUUUGGAUUUCAACU
rnacentral:misc_RNA from 1 species